GACGUCUGCCUGCGGAGCUGUUGUCCUUGCUGUUAUAACGAGGAAAGAGCGAAUUGAAAAUGGGUGAUGUUGAGAAAGGCAAGAAGAUUUUUGUUCAGAAGUGUGCCCAGUACUACACUGUUGAAAAGGGAGGCAAGCACAAGACUGGGCCUAAUCUCCAUGGUCUGUUUGGUCGGAAGACGGGUCAAGCAGCUGGAUUCUCUUACACAGAUGCCAACAAGAACAAAGGCAUCACCUGGGGAGAGGAUACACUGAUGGAGUAUUUGGAGAAUCCCAAAAAGUACAUCCCUGGGACAAAAAUGAUCUUCGCUGGCAUUAAGAAGAAGGGAGAAUGGGCAGAUUUGAUAGCUUACCUCAAAAAAGCUACAAAUGAGUAAUAGCCACUGCCUUAGUUAUUUAUUGCAAAACCCCAAUGUCUCAUGGCUUUUUAAUGUGUACCAUAAUUCAAUUGAUUUCUAAUAUCAGAUUUCAGAUCAUGAAUGGCUGGCAGAAUAUUUUUAGACAGUCCUAAUUUAAGUAAAACUGGCUUGUGGCUAAGUGAAUAUGAUCUUUAAAAAAAUAGUCACUUUUUUCCCCCUUCUGUCAUAUGAUUGGACUUACUAAUGUUCAGUUUUUCAGCAAGGUAGGGAAUAAUACCAUCUCCAAAUCUGUUAAAGAUUGGUUUUAUAUUCAGAUUUAUAUGGCUAAUUAUGAGAACAUCAUUAAAUACUGAGGAAACCCCUUUACUGUCUCAGAAUCAAGUAAAGCUAACCUGUUAAAGGUAAUGGCUGAAGAUGAAGAACAAUGUCUAUAUUUUUGGUCCUGACUACACCAAUUUAAUUAGAAUUACCUUUCUCUGAAAUCUGCCUUUUACUUAUUGAAAGGCAUUUUAGUAUGGCUUGUGUAUAAAU